rnacentral:lncRNA from 1 species
CUGGAGGGUGGGUGCUCCAAGCCCCACACACCCAGUGAGAGCCAAAUUCCUACAGGCCUGCAGUAGGCCUGGGGCUGAGUCCCGGCCACCCAUUCAUCUCAGUGACUUGGGCAGAAGGCACGAGCCUGCCUCUGACAACAGGGACUCCCAAGGCAGGAGCACACUCGCCUCCUUUCUCAUGCAGCAAGGAAAAUGACAGGAAAAGAUGGCCUUUGGGGGGGCGAGGAGCGAGUUCCAGGAUGGCUCCCCAGGAUAGCGAGCAGGGCCUUGCUGGUGUGCCCCCCUCCCCCGUUUAUAUAGUACUGUAGGCCUGCUGCUCUGACCCGCCUUGUGUGAAUUUCUAUAAAUGAGAGGGACCGGGCCCCUUUUGGGGUCUCUCCCUUCGAAUAGGUAUGGCUGCACAGCUGACCAUUAGAACAUCCAUGCAGCUCUCUGGGAAGACAGCAGUCCACAUCACUAACCAAUUAAGAUUCCCUCGAUUUUUUGAGGGCUGAGAAAGCGUGUGUGUGUGUGUGUGUGUGUGUGUGUGUGUGUGUGUGUGUGUGUGUGAUGGUAAUUUCCAUGAGCAAUCAAAGUCCAUGAGUGUCUAUAUGUGUGUGUGUGUGAGAGAGACUGGUGGUAAUUUCCCACUUGAAAUUACUUGGGGUUAGAGAAAAUAAAUACUGGGCAGGCAGUCUUCAUUGAACUAGUCCUUGGCAUUGGGCAGGUCCCAAGGGACUCACAGCUUCUGGCAGCAUGUGUGUCACUCACACGAUUCUGGCUGGAGAGUGCAAUGUGUCUUUUAAAUUUGUUUUUAUAUUUUUUUGUAAUUAUUUUAUUAUUUAGUUGGAAACUUCACACUGGUAUUAACAGAGCUAACAGAAGCAGCCCAGACCGUUGUCCUGGGCACCAAGACAAAGAUCUGGAAGAGAUACUGUUGAGUAUGGAAAUGCGCUGAGGUGAUUAAAUAGGGCACCCACCUGCAUCCUACCCUUGGUCUGAGAACCCCCCCCCGGGGGGGGGGAUCCAAGAGCUGCUGGGUCUUGGUUUGUGAAGGAGAAGUAGGCUGUCAGGUUGAGGACUGCUUGUGGCGAGACUGUAGGAACUGCGGGUAUCCACACAGCGGUGCCUCCCAUCUCCACAGCAAGCCUUAGGUUGCUUCCUGUGAGUGUGGAAGGCUCCCCAGGACCUUCUGACAUUUUUGGCUAAGUCCCAUUUGGGGCAGUGUGAUAGUCUCAUGUCCCUGUGUUUCCUAAGCUCGAUGCUGAGAGCCCAUGACAGGUAGGGUGGUUCAGUGACUGUUAGCACUGCUGAUAGCUUUGUUCUGUGCAUCUGGGUCCCCAGGCCACACAGUAGGUACACUGGUGCUUGUAGAUUAGUCGGAAGGGUCUUUCCAAAGCCUUGAUCCCAACCUGGCUGCAAGGGAUUGGCAUGUGACACCCCCACCCAUUUCUAAAUCGCAAGUGACCUUGACAGUACCCCUCCCUUAUUGCAACCCUAAGACCCCACUGCCUUAGGGUGGGGUCCCCGGUGCCGAAGGUCUCUGCCUCACUCCAAGUCUCACUCUGGGCAGUCGUCUGUGUCUUUGGAAGUGUGAGAAUUGUGUUAGUGCAAACGGAUGUAUCUGCAUGUUGGAAAGCUCGCAGGAGGCAUGUUGGCAAGAUGAGAGUGCAUGUUUGGGAUUACUGGGGCUUACUGUCCCCACGCCGGGCGGAAGCUUCCAGAGAUGUCUUAUAGACAGGUGUGUGAAGGCUGAGAGACAGAGUUUGGAGCCGUAAUGUGUUUGAAACAGGAAAGAGUCAGUUCUCGGUGGUUAAAAAUGAGAGGUUUGCAGGGGAUUUUUGUUAUUCGACAGCCAAGAGUCCAGCCAGAGAAAACUCACUCACCGGGCCCAACCCCGGCUUCCAGUAUCAUUGUCUUAAGGAAGAGGUGGUGCAAGUCAUAAGCCAAUCUUUGGGUUUGGGAGCCCAUUCUCAUCCCGGAUUCCUAGAAGUUUUUACCCAGUGCAUUCUGUCCAGUGCAGAGCCAGCCUGUCAAACCAUACAAAUUAGGGACCACUGACCACAUAAUAAGGCCACACAGUAGGGACCCGACAUCCCCCACACUAGAACGUAAAAGCCCAGGUCUAUCCAGGAGGAAGGUGACCUCAUUUGGACCUUCAUACCCAAGGCUCCGAUGGAACUUAUGGUUCUAAUUGCCAAGUCGACCUCCUGAUGCCAGUCAGACCCGGUGAGCACACCGACCUCUUGCAUGUGCUGCUGCUGAGGCACACCGCUUUUGAGUUCACUUCAAAGGGUACGCAGUUGCCACUCUUAGAUUUAAAGCUUGUCUCCUGCAACAGAGGGCAUGGGUGUCCUUACCAGUUACCAGGUAAACUUCUAAGGCAGAUGUGAGUGGCCGCUGCUGCCAUGUGGUAAGAACAAGCAGGUAAAUGACACCGGGACUCACCUAAAUCACAGGGACUUCCUAGUGUCCACUCAUCCCCAGCCAGCUUACCGUGGUCAGCAGGAGUCCUUCCCCCAGCUUCUCCCCUCCCCACCUCAGCAGAGAAACGGAGACAAGGACAUUGGAUGCAGUAGGGGUCCACGUAAGUGCUAACAUAUCUCCAGGAUCCUGGGUGGUGCUAAACUAUCUCCGUGUUUCUCAUAGUUCUAAUAGUGGGUUGUUUUUUAUAAGUCUCAUCACAAACAACACAGUGUCACCGGGGGAGGGACCCAGCCCCCUUGACCUGCCCCUUUCCGGGUGUCCUUUAUCACUUUGGUGGGACUCUUUGGUCUGUAAAAAUGAUCUGUCUUGGCAUGCUUCUAGACUUUAAAAUUUGGGUUGUUUUGUUUCAUAUCUUAUGUUUACAGGCAUCUUGUAUUUCCCUAAAGACUAAAUAAAGUUUUUGACCUUUUUAACUGAACAG